AGAUAGCAGGCUGGUCUUCUGGUUUGUUCAUCUGCUGAUUGGUUCAGAAUUUACAUCAGAAACCUGCAGCCAAAUCAGCUCCUUUAUGAACACUGUGCAGGACUUUAGCUGUUUAAAGAGUUUAAAAGUAAAAGAGGACUCAGCCCCAUGACUAAACUUAUCCUUUGAGCCAGUAGCAGCAGGAGUCUGUGGAGAUUUUCCUCCAGAGCGCCGUCUGGACCCUCAUUUCAUUAGAAGAGGUGGAAAGAAUCAGGACACAGCAAGAAAAAUCCACAGAUUCAUGACUCCAGAAUCUCCACUAGCUGUUAACCGAGCAGCUCAGGAUGGAAAUUCAGCCCAGAGGUGGGCUCAUGGGCAGGACUGAUGGCAAAUGCAGGAAACAGAGGAACUGGAAGCAGACUUCAGAACAGGGAGCUGAUACGGGCAGCUGCACACAACCACCCUUGGGGGAGUCUCAAUGUGGUGCUCUGUGAGGUUAGCAUGACCAGCGGAAAUAGAAAUGCCACUACCGGACCGUUCGUCACUCAGUCAGCCUCCCUGGACUUGCCUGCACACCUGCUUUUUCUGAGUAA